UUGUUUCUAAUAGAAUUGCUACUUGAGAUUAUAAAAAAAAGAAGUCCCGCUUUGCAGAUAAAAGACGGCUCACCAGGGCCCGUAAAAGCAAAAUGUACCGGGCGUCCCUCGCUUUAGUGGCCGAUAGGGGCUUGGGCCCAAGGCGCAAAAUCAUAACGGUCGAACGAAAGCCAUUAUCACAGCCUCCAAACGGAUAGCCGUUUAUUCCCGUCUUUUCUACGCGUAAUUCACCUUUUUUAAGGAUUUGAUGGCAGAAAAUGGAUUGAAGUAAAAGGACAUUAUGAUAGAGAUAGUAAAAUGUGCUCGAGUUGCAAAGCCAGAAAAGAAAGAAGUUUGGGGUAUAAGGAAUGUAUCAAUGCGUAAAUCGCAAGAAACGAAUAAAAUCUUCGUAAACUUAAGUUAUUCACUAAUCACUGUACUUACAUCUAAGCGCCUAUGCUUUAUAAACUGUUACUUGAAGCACAAAAUUGAAUAACUUAGCUUAGUAAAAACCUAGUAAUCAGUCUUGAACCUAAAAUUUGUCCAGAUAUUUUUUUUGAAUAUCUAAUGUUACUGUAGUUAUUUUUUGUCCGUAUAUUCUGAUCACAGUAAACCCUGCAUAUGAAGAAUCUAGUUAUCUUUUCAAGCUAGCCUACCAGGUUCAAAUUUAAAUGGUGCAUAUAGAGGCAUUAGGCUUCUAGCUACUUAUCUGAAUAUACAAAGAUGGAGGAGGUGGCAGUUCUUUUGGAAAACCGUAAUGACGCCAAAAAGGGUAAUGUUCAAAAGCUGUUAAAGUUGUUAUA